ensembl:snRNA U6 U6 spliceosomal RNA
GUGUUCACUUUUAGCAGCACAGGUACUAAAAUUGGCGCAUUGGGGAGAAAAUCAUCAUGGCUCCUGCACAAGGAUACAAAUUCACAAAACAUUUUCUGUCUUUUU